rnacentral:rRNA from 1 species
UUCCGUCGUGUCCGUUCGGUCGUACGUCGUCAGAGUAGUUGUACGUCCUCGGCUCAGGACGAACGCUGGCGGCGUGCUUAACACAUGCAAGUCGAACGGUGAACCGCUUCGGUGGGGGAGUCAGUGGCGAACGGGUGAGUAACACGUGGGCGAACCUGCCCUCAGCUCUGGGAUAACUCCAAGAAAUUGGGGCUAAUACUGGAUAUGACCGCUGACCGCAUGGUCUGGUGGUGGAAAGAUUUAUCGGCUGGGGAUGGGCCCGCGGCCUAUCAGCUUGUUGUGGGGUAGUGGCCUACCAAGGCGACGACGGGUAGCCGGCCUGAGAGGGUGACCGGCCACACUGGGACUGAGACACGGCCCAGACUCCUACGGGAGGCAGCAGUGGGGAAUAUUGCGCAAUGGGCGAAAGCCUGACGCAGCGACGCCGCGUGGGGGAUGACGGCCUUCGGGUUGUAAACCUCUUUCAGCAGGGACGAAGCGAAAGUGACGGUACCUGCAGAAGAAGCACCGGCCAACUACGUG